rnacentral:rRNA from 3 species
UGGGGAAUAUUGCACAAUGGGCGGAAGCCUGAUGCAGCAACGCCGCGUGAGGGAUGACGGCCUUCGGGUUGUAAACCUCUUUUAGCAGGGAAGAAGCGAAAGUGACGGUACCUGCAGAAAAAGCGCCGGCUAACUACGUG